rnacentral:rRNA from 1 species
AUUGAACGCUGGCGGCAGGCCUAACACAUGCAAGUCGAGCGGAUGAAGGGAGCUUGCUCCUGGAUUCAGCGGCGGACGGGUGAGUAAUGCCUAGGAAUCUGCCUGGUAGUGGGGGAUAACGUCCGGAAACGGGCGCUAAUACCGCAUACGUCCUGAGGGAGAAAGUGGGGGAUCUUCGGACCUCACGCUAUCAGAUGAGCCUAGGUCGGAUUAGCUAGUUGGUGGGGUAAAGGCCUACCAAGGCGACGAUCCGUAACUGGUCUGAGAGGAUGAUCAGUCACACUGGAACUGAGACACGGUCCAGACUCCUACGGGAGGCAGCAGUGGGGAAUAGUGGACAAUGGGCGAAAGCCUGAUCCAGCCAUGCCGCGUGUUUGAAGAAGGUCUUCGGAUUGUAAAGCACUUUAAGUUGGGAGGAAGGGCAGUAAGUUAAUACCUUGCUGUUUUGACGUUACCAACAGAAUAAGCACCGGCUAACUUCGUG